rnacentral:tRNA from 1 species
GGUUGUGGCUCAGUGGUAGAGCGCUCGCCUUGCACGUGAGAGACUCUAAGUUCCAUCCUCAGCACCA